GAAGUCGAGUGCUUGAUUGUUAUAGAAGUGCUUUAAAAUCAGAAACAGUGGAGGCUAUAAUUUUCUUAAGGGAUUGGGAUUUUGGGGAAGAUAAUAUGGAUCCUCAAAUGGCAAUGCUAUGUGGAUCCGUUAUGAAGCUUAAGGUGGGGGACAACGAUGACGCACCACAAACCUCGCCGGAACUAUCAGAAUUUGAUGAGAAUGCUUCUUCGAAUAUUGUUUGAGUCACAAGGACUAAAGUUUAUUAAAAGACAUUUUCUUCUUUUUAAUUAUGGUUUGUAAUUUGUUAAGACUAUUUUGGUGUGUUAGUGACUUAGUGUGUAAUAGUUAAUUAGGCAUUUUAGACUAUUGAAAACAUUGGGUAAAAAAUUCAGGUUUUGUUAA